UACGUAGGGGGCAAGCGUUGUCCGGAAUCAUUGGGCGUAAAGAGCGUGUAGGCGGCCCGAUAAGUCCGCUGUGAAAGUCCAGGGCUCAACCUUUGAAUGCCGAUGGAUACUGCCGGGCUAGAGUCCGGAAGAGGCGAGUGGAAUUCCUGGUGUAGCGGUGGAAUGCGCAGAUAUCAGGAGGAACACCGAUAGCGAAGGCAGCUCGCUGGGACGGUACUGACGCUGAGGCGCGAAAGCGUGGGGAGCGAACAGG
rnacentral:rRNA from 1 species